GUAGGUGAACCUGCGGAAGGAUCAUUGUCGAAUCCUGCAAAGCAGACGACCGCGAACUCGUGUAACUCUUGGGUGCCGGGUGUCGGGAGGAACCGCCCUCCCUUCUCCCGGUCGCUCCCCGCACGCCAGUCGUGCGGUCAAAAACUAAACUCCCGGCGCGGGAAGCGCCAAGGAAAACAUAAACAGAUUGCCAGCAUCCUCUUGCCCCCGCUCGCGGUGCGUGCGGAGGAUGCAUGUGCAUCCCGUAUAAACCAAAACGACUCUCGGCAACGGAUAUCUCGGCUCUCGCAUCGAUGAAGAACGUAGCGAAAUGCGAUACUUGGUGUGAAUUGCAGAAUCCCGUGAACCAUCGAGUCUUUGAACGCAAGUUGCGCCCGAAGCCAUUAGGCUGAGGGCACGUCUGCCUGGGCGUCACGCAUCGCGUCGCCACUCCUCCCGCCCGUCGUGGUGCGAGGGGUAGCGGAUGUUGGCCUCCCGUGCCGUGAGGCGCGGCCGGCCUAAAUGCGAGUCCUCGGCGAGGGACGUCACGACUAGUGGUGGUUGAAUGCCUCAACUCGAGUCCUGUCGUGAUGAUGCCCCGCGCCGUCAUUCGGGCUCUCGUGACCCUUGAGUGUGCUCUCAACAGACGCACCUCGACCGCGACCCCAGGUCAGGCGGGAUUACCCG
rnacentral:rRNA from 1 species